GCCAUUUCUUUUGUUUUUCCAAUUGGACCAGAGGCAGAUGAAUUGACUUGCUCAGCGUCACACAGGUGUCAGUAGUGGGAUCUGAACCCACAGCCUCGGGGGUUUUGAAGGAGGCCAAAGUCUUAACCACUACACCCUACUGCCUAGUAUUCCUUACAGUUCUUCAUCCUCUUCUUCUUUAUCUUUUACUUCUUCUUAUUUUUAUU